AUAACCAUGGCCCAGUGGUAAAGCUUAAGGCUUUAGAGCCCCUCACAUUGAUUUGGGAGUGUAGGGGCGGGGGUUCGAAUCCCCUAGGUGACA